rnacentral:rRNA from 2 species
GCCAUGCAAGUCUCAGUACAUGCCUAACUAAGGUGAAACCGCAAAAGGCUCAUUAAAUCAGUUAUGGUUCCUUGGAUCUUAAACAGUUACUUGGAUAACUGUGGUAAUUCUAGAGCUAAUACAUGCAAACAAGUCCCGACCAGAGAUGGGAGGGACGCUUUUAUUAGAUCAAAACCGAUCGGCGUCCGGCUCCGGCCGGCGCCGUCUCUUUUGGUGACUCUGGAUAACUUUUAGCCGAUCGCACGGUCACAGUACCGGCGACGCAUCUUUCAAAUGUCUGACUUAUCAACUGUCGAUGGUAGGCUCUGCGCCUACCAUGGUUGUAACGGGUAACGGGGAAUCAGGGUUCGAUUCCGGAGAGGGAGCCUGAGAAACGGCUACCACAUCCAAGGAAGGCAGCAGGCGCGCAAAUUACCCACUCCCGGCACGGGGAGGUAGUGACGAAAAAUAACGAUACGGGACUCAUCCGAGGCCCCGUAAUCGGAAUGAGUACACUUUAAAUACUUUAACGAGUACCAAUUGGAGGGCAAGUCUGGUGCCAGCAGCCGCGGUAAUUCCAGCUCCAAUAGCGUAUAUUAAAGUUGUUGCGGUUAAAAAGCUCGUAGUUGGAUCUGUGUGCCACGCUGUCGGUUCACCGCCUGUCGGUGUCAACUGGCAUGUCUGUGGGACGUCCUGCCGGUGGCGGUACGGGCUGUCGGCGCUGCGUAGGGGCUCGUCCCCGAAGCACGCCGGCGUGUCCCGGUCCGCCGAUCCAAUCCCGCCGCGGUGCUCUUCACUGAGUGUCGAGGUGGGCCGGCACGUUUACUUUGAACAAAUUAGAGUGCUCAAAUCAGGUCGUAUUUAGGCCUGAAUACUG